rnacentral:rRNA from 1 species
AGAGUUUGAUCCUGGCUUAAGAUGAACGCUGGCGGCGUGCUUAACACAUGCAAGUCGAACGGAGACAAGAGAAAGCUUGCUUUUCUUAUCUUAGUGGCGGACGGGUGAGUAACGCGUGGGUAACCUACCCUGUACAGGGGGAUAGCAGUUGGAAACGACUGAUAAAACCGCAUAAAACGGCAGUACCGCAUGGUACAACCGUCAAAUAUUCAUAGGUACAGGAUGGGCCCGCGUCUGAUUAGCUAGUUGGUGGGGCAACGGCCUACCAAGGCGACGAUCAGUAGCCGGCCUGAGAGGGUGAACGGCCACAUUGGGACUGAGACACGGCCCAAACUCCUACGGGAGGCAGCAGUGGGGAAUAUUGGACAAUGGGGGAAACCCUGAUCCAAGCGACGCCGCGUGAGUGAAGAAGUAUUUCGGUAUGUAAAGCUCUAUCAGCAGGGAAGAUGAUGACGGUACCUGACUAAGAAGCACCGGCUAAAUACGUGCCAGCCGCCGC